CUCCUGUCUGAAUUAAUAACGACAGGUAGCCCCUGCUCAGUGAGAAAUUAAAUAGCCGCAGUAUCUUGACUGUGCUAAGGUAGCAUAAUAAAUUGUUCUUUUAAUAGAAGGCUAGAAUGAAAGGGGUGACGGUGCUUUAGCUUUCCUGGUUAAAUCAAUAGAAAUUGAUAUUUUCUUCAAAAAGUGAAACUUUUUAAAAAGACGACAAGACCCUGUAAAGCUUGAACUAAAGACAGUGUGUUUAAUUUUAGUUAAUAAACUAACUUUCAUUAGUUAAGCUGGGGCGGCAGAUUUACAGGCUAAAUCAAAUUUAACACUAAUUCGUGGGUAGAAAGACCUUUUUAUUAAGAUAGAAUAAGCUACUUUAGGGAUAACAGCACAAUUCCCCUGGAGAGGUCUUAUCGAUAGGGGAGACUUGUGACCUCGAUGUUGAAUUUGAGGGGCUCUCCUCAGGUAGAAGGGGGGAGAGAGGGGUCUGUUCGACCUUUAAUUCCUC
rnacentral:rRNA from 1 species